AGAGUUUGAUCCUGGCUCAGAACGAACGCUGGCGGCAGGCUUAACACAUGCAAGUCGAACGCUCCGCAAGGAGAGUGGCAGACGGGUGAGUAACACGUGGGAACGUACCCUUUACUACGGAACAACUCCGGGAAACUGGAGCUAAUACCGUAUGUGCCCUUCGGGGGAAAGAUUUAUCGGUAAAGGAUCGGCCCGCGUUGGAUUAGCUAGUUGGUGGGGUAAAGGCCUACCAAGGCGACGAUCCAUAGCUGGUCUGAGAGGAUGAUCAGCCACAUUGGGACUGAGACACGGCCCAAACUCCUACGGGAGGCAGCAGUGGGGAAUAUUGGACAAUGGGCGCAAGCCUGAUCCAGCCAUGCCGCGUGUGUGAUGAAGGCCUUAGGGUUGUAAAGCACUUUCACCGGAGAAGAUAAUGACGGUAUCCGGAGAAGAAGCCCCGGCUAACUUCGUG
rnacentral:rRNA from 1 species